GUCUGGGUGGCUCAGUCGGUUAAGCAUCUGACUUCAGCUCAGGUCACAAUCUCAAGGCUGGUGGGUUCGAGCCCCACUUCAGGCU
rnacentral:tRNA from 1 species